rnacentral:rRNA from 2 species
GACCCGCUGAACUUAAGCAUAUCAAUAAGCGGAGGA